UACGGAGGGUGCAAGCGUUGUCCGGAUUUAUUGGGUUUAAAGGGUGCGUAGGCGGCCCGUUAAGUCAGCGGUGAAAUCCCGGGGCUCAACCCCGGAACUGCCGUUGAUACUGGCGGGCUUGAGUUCGGUCGAGGCGGGCGGAACUGGCGGUGUAGCGGUGAAAUGCUUAGAUACCGCCAAGAACCCCGAUUGCGUAGGCAGCUCGCUGGGCCGAAACUGACGCUGAGGCACGAAAGCGUGGGGAGCGAAC
rnacentral:rRNA from 1 species